GGCCGCACCGCCCCCCCCCCCCCCCCCGCUCUGCCCCCCUUCUCCACCAGAUCCACACCCCACCACCUCCCUCGCCGCGCAUGAGCUCCCCCGAGCAGGCCCUCCGACCGGCCGCCGCCGCCCUGCCCCUCGCUGUCUGCUAGGGUUGAGGUCAUUGGCCUUCUCCGUCGCGCCACCUUCCCUCCACUGGCAGGUACAUCUCUCUCUCUCUCUCUGACCGGCUGUGUUCUCUGUAGAUCCGGUUCAGCUCCUCGAGCGGCAAGGUGCUUGCCAAGGAGAAGGAUGCCGGGAAGGUGACCCAGAUCCGGUUCGGCUCCUCCGGUGGCAAGGUGCUCAGCUCCUCCAGCGACAAAGCAGCAAGAUGUUCUCUGUACACGGUUUUGGUUCAGUUUGCAUCUUCAGUACAUACACAUGUUUGGCCCAGUUUGCAUCUGUCCAUUACAGUAGUUUUGUAGUUUUAUUUGACACAAUUUUGAUGGACACAGCAACAAGUUUAUGAGAUACGGUAUGUUCUUCCUUGUGAAGAGAUUUGAUGAUUAAAGAAACAAUUUUGCUCAAUGUUUGACUAUACACACUACUGCUAGUAGAAACUAAUAAGCCAAAUAAUGUGCAAGGUGCUCCGGUGGCAAGUUGCCCCUACUGAUCUCCUCCUCCUCCUCUGCAAGGUGCUCUGGCAGCAAGGUGCCUCUGCUGGUCUCCUCCUCGUCUGCAAAAACAACAACAACAACCAGGACAUGCAUUAUUUUGAAGACGGGACCGUUGUUGCGGGGCUUCUUUUUGGAGGGACAACUGGCACCGAGCCACUCAAUACAUUUAUGGGAUUAAGUAUCUCCCGCUUGUCAAAGAAACCGGAAGGGGGUGGAUCAACGAAGGUGCUAGCUUGAGGAUUGAUGUAUACGGUGGGAAGUUCAAACAACAUAACGGGCCUGACUCUGAUCCGGCCUCAUAGGACAUUGACACUAUGAUUUCCGUCUAGUCGGGACAAGGCAAGAAGGGUGGCCGGUUAUACAUCGGCCACGGCGCCAUUCGGAAGAAGGGCAUUCCGAAACUCUCCCACCUCCGUGCUACCGCGUCGAGUUCAGGUCCUGCUAUAGAGCGUUGCCCACAGCCUGGGUUACACAUGCUCCAUCAAUUCGAGGCCCACCUAGAGGAAGAAACCAGGUUGCGGCAGGAGGCUUAUGCCAAUGUCGUGCUUCAACAAGAGCAAGCCAUGAAAAUGCAGCAAGCUCUAUUUCAACAGCAGGAAUUCAAGGCUAGACUACAGGCGGCCUUGCAGGAGACAUUCGCUCAGUUCAGAACUAAUAUGCAGGGUUCCACUUUGUCGGAUCUUCCCUCACUUCCACCUCUUCCUACUUUUAAAUUUUUAAGUCUUCCAACUUCUAGACCAUGCAUCUUACCAUCCUGCUUAAAGAUCAUGCAUCUUACAUCACCGUCUCGUGCUUGAAGUUUUCUCAGUCAGGACAAGGCAUCAAUAACAGUGUGGUAGGUGGAUCUACACCUGGCCAAGCAAGCCCAGUGACACCCACUACGACUUAUGUCGCUUUGACCUCCCCGCAACAAUGAUCACUCGAGGUAGUUGUUUAUGAGCGUGUCUGGUUAGUGGCCUGGCCGCUGCACGCCUGGCCUGGGCUCUGCCUGAAACCUGCCUGGUAUUUGUUUGGAUUGUAUCCUGAAAAACAAGAUGUCUUCCUGGCGUGGGACUCCUAUCAAUAUGAUUAGCCUGGCCCUAGACUAAAAAGUAGAAGAAAGUAAAAUACUCAGCCCAGGCAACAUGAUUAGCCUGGCCGAGGCAUACUUUUUCCACCGCCUGGCCAUCUGCCUGGAAGUAACGACCAGCCAUGAGCAGUACUACUCAUUGAGUAAAAUAUCUUUAAGCACUAAAUGACAAAAUGGCCAUUCAGGAAAGGAACCAAACACAUGAUCCCAGGCAAGCCUGGUCAGGAAGAAAAAGCUCACCAUCCCAGGCUCAUUUUAGGCAGCCGUUUUUACCAGGCACAAUGUC